rnacentral:rRNA from 1 species
CAAGGAUUCCCCUAGUAACUGCGAGUGAAGCGGGAAAAGCUCAAAUUUAAAAUCUGGUGGUCUUUGGCCGCCCGAGUUGUAAUUUAGAGAAGCGUCUUCCGCGCUGGACCGUGCACAAGUCUCCUGGAACGGAGCGUCAUAGAGGGUGAGAAUCCCGUCUUUGGCACGGACACACCAGGGCUUUUGUGAUGCGCUCUCGAAGAGUCGAGUUGUUUGGGAAUGCAGCUCAAAAUGGGUGGUGAACUCCAUCUAAAGCUAAAUAUUGGCGAGAGACCGAUAGCGAACAAGUACCGUGAGGGAAAGAUGAAAAGCACUUUGGAAAGAGAGUGAAACAGUACGUGAAAUUGUUGAAAGGGAAACGCUUGAAGUCAGUCGCGUCGUCCGAGACUCAGCCUUGCCUUGGCUUGGUGUAUUUCUUGGCCGACGGGCCAGCAUCAAUUUUGACCCUUGGAUAAUGGCGAGGGAAAUGUGGCUCCUUUACGGAGUGUUAUAGUCUCUCGUCGCAUGCAAGGGUUGGGAUUGAGGAACUCAGCACGCGCCUUCGGGUGUCGGGGUUUUGCCCACGAUACGUGCUUAGGAUGUUGGCGUAAUGGCUUUAAACGACCCGUCUUGAAACACGGACCAAGGAGUCCAACAUGCCUGCGAGUGUUCGGGUGGAAAACCCGUGCGCGCAAUGAAAGUGAAAGUUGGGACCUCUGUCGUGGAGGGCACCGACGCCCGGACCAGACCUUCUGUGACGGAUCUGCGGUAGAGCAUGUAUGUUGGGACCCGAAAGAUGGUGAACUAUGCCUGAAUAGGGUGAAGCCAGAGGAAACUCUGGUGGAGGCUCGUAGCGAUUCUGACGUGCAAAUCGAUCGUCAAAUUUGGGUAUAGGGGCGAAAGACUAAUCGAACCAU